rnacentral:rRNA from 1 species
UGAGUAACGAGUGGGUAACCUGCCCUUAAGUCUGGGAUACCAUUUGGAAACAGAUGCUAAUACCGGAUAAAAGCUACUUUCGCAUGAAAGAAGUUUAAAAGGCGGCGUAAGCUGUCGCUAAAGGAUGGACCUGCGAUGCAUUAGCUAGUUGGUAAGGUAACGGCUUACCAAGGCGAUGAUGCAUAGCCGAGUUGAGAGACUGAUCGGCCACAUUGGGACUGAGACACGGCCCAAACUCCUACGGGAGGCAGCAGCG